UUGGAUUGGCCCACCAGAUUGCAAAUUGCCAUUGACUCAGCAAGAGGUCUCUGCUAUAUGCACCAUGAUAGGUCACCCGCAAUAGUGCACUGUGAUGUCAAGUCUGCUAAUAUCCUUCUUGACCCCGAGUUCAGAGCAAAGAUAGCCGAUUUCAUGCUUGCUCGGAUUCUUCUCAAAACCGGAGACCCUGCGUCAAUUUCUGCCAUAGGUGGUAUCUUUGGCUAG
rnacentral:rRNA from 1 species